rnacentral:rRNA from 1 species
AUUGAACGCUGGCGGCAGGCCUAACACAUGCAAGUCGAGCGGAUGAAGGGAGCUUGCUCCUGGAUUCAGCGGCGGACGGGUGAGUAAUGCCUAGGAAUCUGCCUGGUAGUGGGGGAUAACGUCCGGAAACGGGCGCUAAUACCGCAUACGUCCUGAGGGAGAAAGUGGGGGAUCUUCGGACCCCACGCUAUCAGAUGAGCCUAGGUCGGAUUAGCUAGUUGGUGGGGUAAAGGCCUACCAAGGCGACGAUCCGUAACUGGUCUGAGAGGAUGAUCAGUCACACUGGAACUGAGACACGGUCCAGACUCCUACGGGAGGCAGCAGUGGGGAAUAUUGGACAAUGGGCGAAAGCCUGAUCCAGCCAUGCCGCGUGUGUGAAGAAGGUCUUCGGAUUGUAAAGCACUUUAAGUUGGGAGGAAGGGCAGUAAGUUAAUACCUUGCUGUUUUGACGUUACCAACAGAAUAAGCACCGGCUAACUUCGU